GGGGAUUUAGCUCAGUGGUAGAGCGUUUGUCUAGCAAGCACAAGGCCCUGGGUUCGGUCCCCAGCUCCG
rnacentral:tRNA from 1 species